UAAGGAAUAUUGGUCAAUGGACGAAAGUCUGAACCAGCCAUGCCGCGUGGAGGAUGAAGGUCCUCUGGAUUGUAAACUUCUUUUAUCUGGGACGAAAAAGGGGGAUUCUUCCUCAACUGACGGUACCAGAUGAAUAAGCACCGGCUAACUCCGUGCCAGCAGCCGCGGUAAUACGGAGGGUGCAAGCGUUAUCCGGAUUCACUGGGUUUAAAGGGUGCGUAGGUGGGCAGGUAAGUCAGUGGUGAAAUCU
rnacentral:rRNA from 1 species